GUCUGCCUUCCAGCUAUGCACUGCGAAAAGAAAUUGCCAGUGGAUGAGAUGGCAGAAUCAGUGGAACGUGUGUGACCUUCACCACAUUGUUGAAUGAUGGCUCAUCGGAAGAUAUAAAGAGUAAAGGACUGCUGGGCAAGUCCAAAAGUCACUCCCGAGUUGGCCUGAAAUCAAGCACGAAGCAAAAGGUAUGUUUUCUUCCCCUCUGCAUUGUUCCUUUAGAAUACCAUUAUUUUGGUAGAU
rnacentral:lncRNA from 1 species